rnacentral:misc_RNA from 1 species
UCUUGGACAUGCCUUGCAUGGCAGGCUCCCCGCACGUACGUGCGGCCAACUGUCAUGGGGCUGUCUUCUCAGGGUCCCUUCGUUUAUCCAUUUCGGUAGCUCGGGGUGCCUCGGAUUUGGUUGCCUGUGCGGUCUUACCGUAUUUGGUAUCACAAUUGUCCCGCUGUUGCGUAUUUUGCUUGCUCCGUCGAUGCUACCCAUCGGCGGGCGGCCGAGGCGUUGGCAAAUUCCGUGCGCUGCGAUGCACUAUGUGCGUCGGAACUGCAUAUCGGGUGUUUGCCGGCUCUCACGGAUAUCAGUCCCUACGUUGAGCGGUCUGCGGGCUACGUGCCCGCAGGCUCACGGUGCUGCCCGUACACGCAGAUUUGUCGCCGAUGUUCCGUCUACACGUGUUCCUUCGGGAACCAUGUCUUGAGGGAUCUCACUCGGCGCAUGUCUGUGUGUGCGUGCAUAUCCUUACCGACCCGAAUGAUACACGAUUGCCGGUCUGCGUCGUCGCGGGAAG